rnacentral:misc_RNA from 1 species
UCCCCGUUAUCCUGGGCAGUCCUUCCAGAGUUCCCUGCAUGACCCGUUGGCAACUGGAAGCAGGGGUUGCGCUCGUUGCGGGACUUAACCCAACACCUCACGACACGAGCUGACGACAGCCAUGCAGCACCUGUAUGAAAGUCAGUACCAUCCCGUUAAGGACUGGUUUUGUUGUUCAUAUGUCAAGGGCUGGUAAGGUUCUGCGCGUUGCGUCGAAUUAAACCACAUGCUCCACCGCUUGUGCGGGCCCCCGUCAAUUCCUUUGAGUUUCAGCCUUGCGGCCGUACUCCCCAGGCGGGGCACCUCAUGCGUUAGCGCCGGUACCCCAGGGGUCGCUCCCCAGAGCACCUAGUGCCCAUCGUUUACGGCGUGGACUAC